ACGAAGGGUGAAGCUUGCGGUUUAAUUGGAGUCAACGCCGGAAAUCUCACCGGGAGCGACAGCAGUGUGAAGGCCAGAUUAAAGGCUUGCCAGACGAGCUGAGAGGAGGUGCAUGGCCGUCGCCAGUUCGUGCCGUGAGGUGUCCUGUUAAGUCAGGCAACGAUCGAGACCCGCGUCCUCUGUUGCAACCAGUUUUGAGCUGGGCACACUGAGGAGACCGCUACUGAUAAAGUGGAGGAAGGAGCGGGCCACGGCAGGUCAGUAUGCCCCGAAUCUCCCGGGCCACACGCGAGCUGCAAUGGCAGGUACAAUGGGUUCCGACCUCGAAAGGGGAAGGCAAUCUCGAAAGCCUGCCGUAGUUGGGAUCGAGGGUUGUAACCCACCCUCGUGAACAUGGAAUCCCUAGUAAUCGCGUGUCAUUAGCGCGCGGUGAAUACGUCCCUGCUCCUU
rnacentral:rRNA from 1 species